UGACUUUGCCUGGAUCCCUUUAAGGCUUCUCUGGCAGCUGAAGAACAGCACAGCAUAUCCUCACUGCUCUUGUCUACAGAGUGAUGUGAUGCUCUGGUAGGGGGCUUUGCCUUCCUUUCACCACAGGCACAUUCACUUAAGCCGUGAGGGAAGCAGCACAGUUGUCUUGUCAGCUACCACUUUGCUAAUGCCUGCAGAAUAAAACUGGAGUCACAAUUAGAGAGGGUGAGAAAAGAUAAGAAAGAAAAAUAUGCUCUUUGGCAUAUCCUUGCACGGGUCUUUCUGUAAAUGCAGAAGGCAUAGCAUCAGCAGCAGCCUUUGGAAAGAACUGACCAGAACCCUUUCCAUUAGAGAAGGGGACUCUGAAUAUUUCACCUCCAACCUGGGCAGGAAGUUCUUGGACUUGGUUUGCACCUGGAAGUGCUAAGCACCUACCUCUGAUUUAUCUAAGGAUAGCCUCCACACUUAUACUUGGAUCAAGGAAGUUUCUCACCAGGCAGUUCCAAAUGCAUCUACUCCAAAUGCACUGCAGCUGAUUUUUUUUUCCUGUCUAGGCAAGCUACUGUCAAUAAUUUCUAUGUAUGGGAUUUAUACCAUCCCAAAUUCAGUAUAUUGGAGCACUUGGGGAACCCUCUGGAAAAGAGGAGAGGAACUGAAUGGACAACGAGAGGAUAGGAGCCCUUGUUUCUAAAGUGGGAAGUACUUGUCCUUCUAACCUUUUUAAAGUAGCACUUCAACUCUCAUCUAUAAUAUAGAUGAUUAUUUCCAAUUUGGACAUUUCAAGGUUUAAACCAGGAAAAGAUGGCUUAUAUUUAAAUAGUUCCAAGGGUAGAGUCGGGGCGACUGGAUGGAGCUGAGCAUUUACUGGUUGGACGCCCUUCCUGAUGCAUUGCAGAGUUCACAGCAGAUAGAUUUUUCUUUGCGCUCUAGGAAAGAAACAUCUGCCACUACCUAGAAUUGAACUCUCAACCUUCUGAGUGGGAGGUUAUCUAUUGAGGUCUCUGCCAUACAGAGCUUUCUUCUCCAAGUGAUUCAGAUGGCCCCAAUCAUACUAUCCUUUCAGAAGGCCUUGAAGACUUGGCUCUCCUCAACCACUGGGGCUAGGAUGUUAAUGGUGCCUAGCCAAUAAAAUAUGGAUUCAUAUUCCUACUGCUUAAGAAAAUUGCUCCCACUCAGGUCUUCAGUUUGCAAACCAGAAAGGCAAUUUUUUCCCUAGAAAAGGAAUCUCAAGAGCAACGUCUAAUUAUAUGGCGAAAUAUUUUGUAUACAUUCAAUGGCAUAUUAGAGCUUUUCUGAACAUUCUGAUUUUGAUUGAGAGUCACUGGCCUGAUAUAUCAUGUAGCACUCUUCUGCCAAAAGUAACAUGCUAAAAACCUCUUCCCACAGUUAUUUAUCCUUUAUCUUAUGCCUCAUUUUUUUAUCUUUGUAAUUAUGUGUAUUAAAAUAGAGCUGCAAUUUGUAUAACUCUGCAGAGAUCUGAGAUUGUUUAUAGAAUGAUGCUUAGAAGCUUAUUUUCUUUUCAAUUCUCUUGCCCCAU